AUGGUUCGAUGGACGGAGAUCUGUAAACCUCGCGACCAGGGCGGACUCGUGAUCAUGUCCUCCAAACGCAUGAACAUUUCCCUCCUGACUCAAUGGUUUUGGCGGAUUGCGAACAGAGAGGGUGGCCUAUGGCUUCGCAUCGUCCAACAGAAAUACCUCUGUGGCCAGCCACUCGCCUUCUGCCAGCGGUCCGAUGGCCCCCAAUUCUGGAAAUCCAUCAUUCAGCUCCUUCGAGUCCUCCACAUCGGGACCUUGAUUGCGGUUGGAUCUGGCACCGCACGCUCUUCUAGUUCGAUAGAUGGGCUAGGGACGUCCCCUUCAUGGCUUGGUUUUCUGACCUAUUCACCAUCGCGGUAG
rnacentral:rRNA from 1 species